rnacentral:rRNA from 1 species
CAGCAGCCGCGGGAAUACCAGCACCUCGAGUGGUCAGGAGGUUUAUUGGGCCUAAAGCAUCCGUAGCCGGUUGCAUAAGUUUUCGGUUAAAUCUAUGCGCUUAACGUAUAGGCCGCCGAAAAUACUGUGCAGCUAGGGAGUGGGAGAGGUACACGGUACUCGAUAGGAAGGGGUAAAAUCCUUUGAUCUAUUGAUGACCACCUGUGGCGAAGGCGGUGUACCAGAACACGUUCGACGGUGAGGGAUGAAAGCUGGGGGAGCAAACCGGAUUAGAUACCCGCGUAGUCCCUGUCUCUUAUAC